ensembl:lncRNA
GAUCUGUUCCAUCGCAAUGACAAACUAUAGCCACUGGUGUUAAAUCACCCAAGGCCUUCAAGGUGGUAUCAGAAGUGUUAUUGUGGGAGGUUGGAGUGGCCAGAGACAGUGCAACCUGGAGCACCGUUUAGCCAGAUCAUUCCUCCCACUCCAACAUUGAACAAUAACUGUAUGAAAUUAAAAUAAUUAGACAUUAAGCAGCCUAUUGUUGAGCUGACAUGAAAGGGAUUUACAGGGGUGGCUCCCAUUAACGGCACUGGGUGGUCCCCUCCUUGCUUUCCCUGGGCUCUGAAUGUAGAAAAGCUUGUCCUAACAUGUCACUUACGGGAAAGGUCAAGAGCUGUGGUUUUGUUCAGCAAGCUCAAUAUGUUCAAUUAAAAUAUACUGGUGUGUUCAUCAGCCAUUAACUGUCUUUGCAAUAACUGUAAUUAAACAAAUACCUCUGAAAGGAAAUCUUUCCAGACAAAUUCUGACAUGGUGUCGGAGGAGAGCAGGAAUUUCACAGGUCUCUGAUGUGGGUUCACUUUGUGUCUCCAUGCAAAUCCUGCAACUGCUGGGAUUUUUCCUUUCUCUGCUGCCAGAAUGAGGAUGACUCCAUGGCCCACCAACAGCCACUGAUUUCCACGGAGAGGCACUUCCAGCUCUGAAGCAGGUGGCCUGUCCCUGAUGCAGAUGGCAGCGUUGCACAGCUCCUUGGGUGAUCAAGUGCUUUUGAAAUUUCAAGCCAGAGACAUACCAAAAAAAAGGCAGAAAAAAACCCCACCUCUUUCCAGGGAGCACAAAAUCAACAGAACAACUUCAGCUAACUGCACACAGGCAAAAACACUGCACUGCCUUGAGUCUGCACAGAUGUUUGUGCCCCAGCUAGGUUGAGUUUUCCAGCUACUACCUGCAUCCUCAGCCUCCUCCAGCAGCACUCACAAGUCCCCCUGAGCCCCGUAACCAGAAGGGAAGGGAACACUGAGUCCCAAACUUCUCCUGGCACAAACCAGGCUGCACAUCAUAAGCGCACCAUCAGUAAGUAUCUGUGCAAUAGAAACUCUAAACAGAGGGUUUCUAGUCAAGUCCAGCAGCCAAGAAGAAAAGCAUCCCUUUCCACCCUUCGGUCUCAUCUCCAAAGCCAUCACUGCUGGCCCUGGAGCAGGGCUCUGGCUCUUCACUGUCAUCAGCCACUCUCUGCAGUGACAUUACAUUGCGGCAACUCUUUUCAGUAAAACAAUAGAGGAAAAUUAACAGUUGCAAGACAGCAAACCAUGCGUGCACCUGAGCAUCUCCCAUAGGACGAGCUUCAGCACGCUUCACGUUUGUCAGGUCUAAACACAAGCAGGUGCCUGGAAAUGCUGGCAGGGGCAGAGGGGUGGAAUGAAAAUCCCGUCCUUUCCAUACAGAGUGGCAUGAAGGGACAGAGCAACAAAUGCAAAUGGUGAGGCACAGGCUGCUAGAGGCAGUUCAUCGCACGCUGCUGGACAGGAGGGUCAGGAGCAGCAGCGUGGGCGCUGCACAGCCCAUGGGGCCGGGGGCUUCCCCCGGACCUUCUGGGCAGGUGAUGUGGCCAGGGCUGAGCAAUCACAUGUAUUAGCUGGAUAUGGAUAUAAACACAGAUACAGAGUGUAUUCAGGCAUUAUAUGUAAAGGUCUUUAUAUAUCUCAAAACCAAAUUAUAUUUUAAAUGUUUAAAUUUGUGUAUAUAUGUAUAUUUAUAUGCACAUAUAUAUGCUGGUUAUGUAUGUAAAGAUGUUUUAAAAAUACCUUUAUAUAUAUAUAUAUAUAUACACACACACACACUCACAUAUACACAUAUUUACACAUGUAGGUAUAUAUAAAUAUUUAAGACCUUCCUAUAUAUUGAUCUUAUACAUUUACAUACAUAUUAUAUAUCUCAUACAAGUAUAUAAAGGUCUACAUAUAUGGAUGUGCAUGUAUAUAUGUAUAUGAGUGUGUGUGUAUAUAUAUAUGCAUAUAUAAAAAAUCAAUAUAACUAUAUGCAUAGACUUCAAAUAUUAAAUCAUGUAUGUUAGGAUGCAUAUUAUCUAUACUAAGUGCAAUUAUGUGAUUAUAAAUAUAUAAUUUUAUGCUAUUAUGUAUAUAUGUAUACAUUUAUAUUGUUAUAAUUUUUACAUAUAUUUAGAAUGUAUGCUUUUAAAGGUCUUUAAAAAAGGUCUAUUUAUAUAAGUAUAAUCAGUACAUAUAUAUGCAUAAAGAUACACUUACAUAUACACAUAUAUUUUUAUGUAUAUCUGGGCAUAUGAAUGGCAAAAUAAAUAAGUAAACC